AUUGAACGCUGGCGGCAGGCCUAACACAUGCAAGUCGAACGGUAGCACAGAGAGCUUGCUCUCGGGUGACGAGUGGCGGACGGGUGAGUAAUGUCUGGGAAACUGCCCGAUGGAGGGGGAUAACUACUGGAAACGGUAGCUAAUACCGCAUAACGUCGCAAGACCAAAGUGGGGGACCUUCGGGCCUCACACCAUCGGAUGUGCCCAGAUGGGAUUAGCUAGUAGGUGGGAUAAUGGCUCACCUAGGCGACGAUCCCUAGCUGGUCUGAGAGGAUGACCAGCCACACUGGAACUGAGACACGGUCCAGACUCCUACGGGAGGCAGCAGUGGGGAAUAUUGCACAAUGGGCGCAAGCCUGAUGCAGCCAUGCCGCGUGUAUGAAGAAGGCCUUCGGGUUGUAAAGUACUUUCAGCGGGGAGGAAGGCGGUGAAGUUAAUAGCUUCACCGAUUGACGUUACCCGCAGAAGAAGCACCGGCUAACUCCGUGCCAGCCGCCGCAGUAA
rnacentral:rRNA from 1 species